UUCCGGUUGAUCCUGCCGGACCCGACUGCUAUCAGAGUGAGAUUAAGCCAUGCGAGUUAACGUAGCAAUACGUGGCGCACGGCUCAGUAACACGUAGUCAACAUGCCCAGAGGACGUGGAUAACCUCGGGAAACUGAGUCUAAACCGCGAUAAGUGAGGAUUUCUGGAAUGGUUCCUGACUAAAAUCUAUAUGGCCUCUGGAUUGGACUGCGGCCGAUCAGGCUGUUGGUGAGGUAAUGGCCCACCAAACCUGUAACCGGUACGGGCUCUGAGAGGAGGAGCCCGGAGAUGGGCACUGAGACAAGGGCCCAGGCCCUAUGGGGCGCAGCGGGCGCGAAACCUCUGCAAUAGGCGAAAGCCUGACAGGGUUACUCUGAGUGACUUUCGCUAAGAAAGUCUUUUGGCACCUCUAAAGAGGGUGCAGAAUAAGGGGUGGGCAAGUCUGGUGUCAGCCGCCGCGGUAAUACCAGCACCCCGAGUGGUCGGGACGAUUAUUGGGCCUAAAGCAUCCGUAGCCGGUUCUGCAAGUCUUCCGUUAAAUCCAGCCGCUCAACGGAUGGGCCGCGGAGGAUACUACAGGACUAGGAGGCGGGAGAGGCAAGCGGUACUCAGUGGGUAGGGGUAAAAUCCUUUGAUCCAUUGAAGACCACCAGUGGCGAAGGCGGCUUGCCAGAACGCGCUCGACGGUGAGGGAUGAAAGCUGGGGGAGCGAACCGGAUUAGAUACCCGGGUAGUCCCAG
rnacentral:rRNA from 1 species